rnacentral:rRNA from 1 species
GACGAACCGUGCGAACGUUAUUCGGAAUCACUGGGCUUAAAGGGAGCGUAGGCGGGCCGCCAAGUCAGGGGUGAAAGCCUCCAGCUCAACUGGAGAAGUGCCUCUGAUACUGGCGGCCUCGAGGGGUGCAGGGGCGUGCGGAACUCAGGGUGGAGCGGUGAAAUGCGUAGAUAUCCUGAGGAACACCGGUGGCGAAAGCGGCGCGCUAGACACCUACUGACGCUGAGGCUCGAAAGCCAGGGGAGCAAACGGG